rnacentral:lncRNA from 1 species
AAAAUCACCCCACUUCUCUUCAUAUCUAACUUAGAAACCCUAGCGCCGCCCUCAAAUUCUCUCAGCCAUCUCCGCCGGCGGCGACGCCGUGAACCACUCCAAUCCGCUCCAAAAUAACACCACAUUCAUCCCCUCAUCCCAACUUUCUAACCCGCUGCCUUCAAAUCAUAGUCGAGCCCCUCGAAAUUCAGAUCGAAGACCGGAGUUCCCUGAACCCUAAUCUCUCCAAACAUCUUCAGAUCUUUACCACACAACCGCCUUCACCCUUCUUUAUCAAAUCCAUCAUUAAUUACCAAAACCCCCACCCAUUUAUCCCAAAUUGGAAUGGGGUUCCAAAAGAAAUUGGGAACCCUAACUUGUUUCCUUUAUGAGCUCGAGGGUUUAAUAGUUGAUUUGGGGUCGAAAUUUAUGUUUUUUGAUUGUUCCUAUCUAUAACAAUUGAUUGGUACCAAUUCUGGCCCAUUUCAAAGUUCACCGAGCUUCAUGCAUGGUUUAAAGGCCGGCAAAAUUUCUAUCAGUAGGUAUUUGUUUCCUUUCCUCCUUUUAUUUCCUUAUUUCCCGCCUCUUCAGCUUCUUCUUCCAUUCUUCUAUUUUCUUUGUUUGUUUGUUCAUCAUGUUUCUUUCUCUAAAUAUGAAAUGAGUAGUUAGUUCAAGCCGUUUGAUUUUUUAUUCUUGUGAAUAAUCAUCAGUUCAGGGUCAAGAAAAUAUUGCUUUUUUUAUUUUAAUUAGUUAACCUUGUCAAUUGUUUCAAAGUUUUAAAACUCAAAUAAGCUCAUUGUUCUUGCUAUAGGUCAAUUUUGAUUACUCAAAUGUGGGUUUAUUUUUGAGUAACUUUCAACGUCAAACUCAUUUGAAUUUCAUAGAUUAAUACUGUUUUGAUUCAUUUGGAUUUUGGUAUUUGUUAGAAAAUUAUAUAGUUAGUUCAUACAGGGUCAGAACUUUCAAGGGUCUCAAUUGAGUAAUUAAAAACUUAAAGGGGGUAGUAAAAGAACUUAGGAGGUCAAUUGAAAAAUGUAAAAGUGAGAAUUUCAAUUAAGGCAUUUAGAAGUUUCUAGAUUAUGAACAACUGUCCAUUUUCUGUUAGAAAAGAUGCCCUGUGAGGGGUAUUUUGGGAAAAUUCCAUUUUCUUGCCUUAGAAGGCACACAACAGAUUUCUGUUGUAUAAAUAAGGCCUCCCCUUCACUCUUUACAGGGAAUCAGACCCUAAAAAGACUGCAAAAAGCUCUCUACACUAUUUCAUUAAAAAUUGGUUGUUUUUUUAGUUUUCUGCUAUUGAAGAGGAAUUUUGAAAGGUUUUCAUUGAGUAUAUGAUCUUUGGGAUUAAAUAUGAGCUGAAGCUAUUUGUUGGUUGGUUGUUGCUAUUUCUUUGCUUUACUGAACUUUUGUGUUUUCACCUCUCUUUGCCUUUGGUUUUCAAGGUAUUUUCUCGGAUUAUGAUAACUACUUAAGUGUAGGAGUAUUUUUAUGUAUGUAGUUGUAAUGAGAAUGUCGAUGAAUGAAUCAAGGGAUUUCAGUUCUUUCUAUAUAUGCUUUUUCUGAAAUUCAAUGUCAAAUUUUUAGUGUAUUUCCUUUCAGCUUAUAUGGUUAGUGUGGGAUUUGUUGAAUGAGGAAUGGUUUAGGAAGAAUUUCAUAGGUGUUAGGAUUUAGACUAAUUCAGUUUCAUGAACUGUUCACUUGGUUGGAUCAUGUGGUUGAUUUUUGUAUUUUCUUAUAUAUCAAGGUUGGUAAUUUGGAUAUCAUGUUAAUAGUGGUUGCUGAAACUCUAUAGCUUAGUCAUUCAAUUUGAACAGGGUUAGUUAACUAUUAGAAUUACAUAGCUUUAGCAUUAUUAGAGUAAUAUGUUAGUGCAAGAUUAGCAUGUGGUGAAGAAUAGCUUUGGAUCCAUCUUCAUUUUACAAUUGCUUGUCAAUAGGUGUAAAAUCUGAAUUCAUAAUCUGCUGAUAUUUUGUUUGUUCUUAUACUAUAUUUUGGAAUUUCUUAAGGGGAUUAGGCUUUGUUUGGGCCAAUACAGGUCAACCUAUUAAGGAAUGUGCCUUUUAUGCUUGUUUCCGACCUUGUCACUCCCUACGCCCAAUUUAGGCCCUAUUAUAUCCAGCAAUAUUUAAUUCAUUAGCAUUCUAAUUGACAUAGUGAAAGGAGUUUUCUUUAAUGUACUGUAUGGCCAUUCUUAUUUAAUGUUGGGCUUGGUAUCACACCCCGCCCUUUGUUGUGACUCUUCUAAAAUCUAAAUGGCAUUGGGCCUAUCGCUGGUCCAAACACUUCAAUUAAUCAAACACUUGGUUUCACCCAACGUGUGUCCGUUAAUAACUAAGUUUGGACUGAAUACUAACUAGGAGUAAAUUUGAAUUCCUUUGGACCCAUUUUAAUCAAGUGUCGCCCUAUUUAAAUUUAACCAAAUCAUCUAUGGCCCUCACAAAUACAAUACUAAUUAUAUAUUAAUGUUGAAUAAUCGUAGAAAAACCUUUAGGGCCUUUUAAAAUAAAAUUGUGAUUGUGUACACGUUCGUGUGACAUAUUUAUAAUUCUAAAAACCAACUCGGAGUAUGCGUUCGCACAACUUCGAUCAAAGUUGCUUAAUAAAUUGUCUUAAUAGGCCACUAAUUGAAUCUAAUUAUAUUUAGUCCGAGAUGUGCCAUCCACAAGUUAAUCAUUCAUGGCCCUCUUAUUAAUAUUAUGACUUAGAUAUAAAAAUGACAAAUGCUCGUAGUUGCGCUAGGCCCAUUUAAUAUAUUAUUGUGGUCGUGGACACGUUCGCAUGACAUGAUUAUGAUUUUAAAAACAAAACCAUAGUAUUGCGUUUGUGCAACUUUGGCCAAACUUUUCUUCAUAAUAAUAAUAAUAAUAAUAAUAAUAAUAAUAAUAAUAAUAAUAAUAAUAAUGUUGUGUUACUAGUCUUGGACACAUUCGCAUGACAUGAUUUUUGACGCGCCAAACAAAUGGGUACACAUACGCGUGACCUGUUUCAAGAUAAUUUUCUUAAUUAAAAAAUGGUAAAAGGUAAAAGCACAUAGGUUUUAAAAUGAGUAAUUAAACAAUUUAAUAAGCCAAGUAUGAUCAAAGCGUGUUAGAACCACAGAACUCGGGAAUGCCUAACACAUUCUUCCAGGUUAACAGAUUUCCUUACUCGAAUCUUUAUAUUCGCUGACAUUAAUACAGAGUCAAAUUUCUUCGAUUCAGAGUUUUAAAUCGAUGACUUGGGACACCAUAAAAUAUCCCAAGUGGCAACUCUAAAUUUUAAAUAAAUAAUCUCGUUUCGAUUGUCACUUAAAUUGAAAAAAUCCUCUUAUAACCCUUUUGGGGUGAUAAAAAGGAGGUAUGACAAUAUAAAGCAUCAUUUAAAAUUUUCUAUUAAAAAAAUUUGAAUCACAAAAUGAUCAUUAACCAAUCAAUUUUUAAAGGUUCAUUUUUUAAUCUCCAGAGAUUUUUUAUAGGGUAACAAAUUUAUAGUAACAUCUUUACUCGUCGAAUAGAUAGCUUAAGCGUUAUACAAAUAUCUUUGUUUAUACAUUAAAGACCGAAUACUUAAAUAGACAUUUUGAUAACUUAUGUGUCUUUUCGUAUUUUGAUGAUCUAACAAACUUUAUGAUAAGAACAAGAUCGAGAACCAGUUCUGGUGUAGCCGCAGUGGGACCGCGGCAGAACGCAAAAAUUUUAGGGACCAAAGUGUCAAAUUGGGAAAAGUUGGUGAAAACCCCUUAUAAGAUGUAGAAAUUUGGCCAUAUUAGGACAGACUUGUUUUGGAGAUUAUUAUUGCAAGAUACACAAGUGUGAGAGAUCACCCAAAAACAUCAUAGUUCAUUAUCUCUUCUUUUUCUUGCAAUUUUCCAUGAUGAAUAUUUUCGUAGUUUAUCUUUACGUUGUNNNNNNNNNNNNNNNNNNNNNNNNNNNNNNNNNNNNNNNNNNNNNNNNNNNNNNNNNNNNNNNNNNNNNNNNNNNNNNNNNNNNNNNNNNNNNNNNNNNNNNNNNNNNNNNNNNNNNNNNNNNNNNNNNNNNNNNNNNNNNNNNNNNNNNNNNNNNNNNNNNNNNNNNNNNNNNNNNNNNNNNNNNNNNNNNNNNNNNNNNNNNNNNNNNNNNNNNNNNNNNNNNNNNNNNNNNNNNNNNNNNNNNNNNNNNNNNNNNNNNNNNNNNNNNNNNNNNNNNNNNNNNNNNNNNNNNNNNNNNNNNNNNNNNNNNNNNNNNNNNNNNNNNNNNNNNNNNNNNNNNNNNNNNNNNNNNNNNNNNNNNNNNNNNNNNNNNNNNNNNNNNNNNNNNNNNNNNNNNNNNNNNNNNNNNNNNNNNNNNNNNNNNNNNNNNNNNNNNNNNNNNNNNNNNNGUUAGUUUCAAUCUUUAUUUAUUCAACUAUGUUCUUGUUGUAGUUAAUUGACAGGAUCCUCAAUUAGUUGUGCCUAUUCAGUGUGCAUAACUCGGAAGAGAGUGCAUAUUUAGGUAAUUGUUGAACAACACCACUCCCAAAGUAUAAGACGGAUCUAUAAUUGCGGGUUUAAAGGCGGGAUUAGGGAUAACGAAACCUUGGGUGCAAUCUAAAGUGAGUUGUAAUAAAUAAAGUUAGCUAGCGUAUCUCGGGAGAGUGCAUCUAGUAAAUUAUCGUGAUUACAUGAGAGAGAUUUACUGUAAAAAGAGUGCUCAGGAUUGAUAGAGAUGUUUUGGUGAAUCUAUAUGAUGCAUAACCGGAAGGGAUUCCAUCAAUAGGGGAAAUCAAUACCUUAGAAUCUUCUUAUUGUUGUUUACAACUCAAGCAUAUUUAGUUUACAAUUGUUUCUUUACUGUCAGUCUUAGUUAUUAGAAAUAACAUCUACUGUUGUUUCCAACGUUUGGGAAAGUUGAUUCUAAAGAAUUUAGUACGUCUAACAAAAGUGAUUGAUAGGUUAAUUCUCUGUGAAUUCGACUCUGGGUAUAAAUACUUAGGUUAUAUUGUAAAGCCCGUGUGUCCUUUUAUAAGGCAUAAAGUUAUUGACAAAUUUAAUACAUUACCAAUAUAUCUUGAAAAUUAACAUUAAGGAAAACUCAAAUGUACGAAUAUAUUAUAAAAAAAAAUUAAUAAAAUAAUAUUAAGUUAUGUUAGUUAUAAAUAAAAUAUCUAGGUAAAAAUAUAUUAUAUAGUAUAUACUAUUGAAGGUACUAUAUAAAUAUGAAUAUUUAUAUAAUGUCAACGGCAUAAUACUUUUCAAGUAAAAAUAUUAUAAAAUUUGGCUAAUUGACGUUUGUAAUAACUAAAGCAAAGUAAUUUUUGUGUAAUAAAAGAAAGAAAAGUAAUUUUUGAAAUGAACACAAAGUUAAAAUAUUUUUACUUAACAAAAAAAUAAUUUUUAGGUAACAAACACAAAAGUUAAAUGACCAUAAAUAAAAUUAAAGUAUGUAUAAGUGGUAUGAUAUUUCAAGAAUUUGAAAACCACCUGAAAAUUUAAUUCAAAUGAGCCUUUUAUUUCACGUAAAAAGAUUAGUGAUGUCAAUAUUAGGACAUCUAGAUCAAAUUUACUCAUAUCUACACAAUAAUAUUGGGUAUUAUAUGCAAUCUAUCAUUUUUGAGGAAAAAAAAACUUAUACUAAUUGAACAUCAUUUUUGACAUUUUGAAAAUACAUGGAUUGACCGUUCAUUUUAGUCUUUAUUUUAAGAUAUAGGAGAUUUACCGUCUCAUUCAAAUUAAAUGGUGAAUUGAAUGUUCUCCAAAUAAAUGAUUAUGAGGAUUUAAUUAAAUUUUACUUUUUAAAAAAAAAAAAGAUAGAGAGAAGACAAGACAUAAAUAAGAGACAUGGCGUUAAAGUAGACUAUCAAGACUAGUAAAAGGUGAAAAAAGAAACUUUUAUAAUAAUAACAAAAAACAUCCAUUCUGUUACAUCAAUGGUCUUCAGUUCAUGUUUCUUUUUUCUUUCUAUUCUUGGUGUUCAACAAUAAAUCUAGAACAUUACAAGUACUUCUCAUCCUUUGAUUUUGUCGGCCGUCUUUGAACAUUUGAUAAUGCAAGUCUCCAUCAUCUUCUUGUCUGUCAUAUAUACAAAGACUUUCUUUUUAAUACGUGUAUACAAGGUUUCCUAAUUCAUAGUUGCACUAAGAUAAAUUAAAGCAUAGCAAUCUUAACAUUAGACCCAAAAUGACAAUAACAACAACACCACCAAAAAAAAUAUGGUACACUGGAUGAGACUGUUUUUUUCUUAAAUUAAGGUUUCGGUUCGAUCCAUGGGUAAAAAAAUCUUUAGUACGGAGCGGUUUUCCCCAAAUGGGGCCCUACAUGGCUCGAACCCGAAUAUAGACGAGCUCCAAUGUGGAUACCGAACACCGAAUAGAAAACCAAAAAGAAAAAAAUAACAACAACACAAUAUUAUCCGACGAGUGGGGACUAGAGAGAUUAGCGUCUACACCGGCUUUAACCCUACCUUGAUUGAGUAAAAAAGUUAUUUAUGAUAGAUCCCCAGUUCAAAAAAACGAAAAAUUGGACCCAAAUUCACAAUUUUAAAAUUAGAUAAAUAGAUAGAUAAAGUGAGAGCGAGGACCACUAAAAGUUUUGAUGCAAUGGAUAAAAUUCAUUUAUGCUUAAUUAGAAGUCUCGAAUUCGAGUCUUGAAAAUAAAAGAAAAUUUAAUUGGUAGGGAGCAUCAAUGACGAAUGUAAUGGAGUAUUACCGGGUUCAACUGAACUCAUAACUUUUGAUGUAAGGUAAAAAUUUAUGUGUAAAAAUAUAUUAAAAUUAUAACAAUCGUAGAUACAAACCCAUAACUUUAAAAAUCUAAUGAGUUCAAUGCCAAAAAUUUUAAAAAAAUUAAACCCAUAAAAUUUAAAUCUUGGAUCCGCCUCCGAGGAGCAUCUCCUCCUUUAAUAGAUCUUACAGCGAGACGAACCUAAAUUAUUCAGGAUCUAAAAGCGGAUACCGAGCCGGGUUGGAUACCCAAAAUAAAGAGUGAGAAGAAGAGAUAGAAAUAUAGAGAUACCUCCUUUAUACUUAACACAAUCAUUAAUGGUGCAAUGUUUCCAUGUCGACGAAGAAAGAUUAGGGUUUUUACAAUCUUGUUUACAGUAUUCAUAGCAACCAGCAAUGUCAGCAAAGCAAGUUGAGUAGCAUUCAUCAACACAUUUUUCAUAUGGAUCUUCAUCUGCAUAUACAAAAGAAACCAUAAUUGUUGUGAUUAUCAUGAGAAUUACCACUUCUUUCAACAUCUUAAGCUUCAUUUUUUCACAAUUUCUCACUUUAGUCUUUUUCUUUGUUAUGCAAAAUGAAGAAGCAUAGCUUCACCUUAUAUAGGAGAUCACAUAAUCUAGUAUUUAAUGAUUAUGUUUUAUGGAGGAAAUUAAUAUUAAUGAUAGUAAUAAAAUCUAAAAGUAGUUGUUAGGAAUAAGACCUUAGUAAAUGCAUAAGUGUGGACAUCUGUGUUUUACUUUUGUAACUGUUUCGACCGGAGUAAAUGCCUGAGGAUUAUGGUGAUCUCUCUCUCUCCUUUGUUUUUUAGUUCUUUCUUCUUAAAGGGCCAUAACAAAUAGAUUUUGGAGAGUUUAGGUAGGUAAAUAAUAAAUAUUUAAAAAGAAAAGAAAAUUGCGUUGCUGAAAAAGCAAGACGAUGAAGAGCUAUUGCAAUGAACGAGAUAGAGGUAAAAAUAGCAUGGGCUAGCUAGUUUUCGAACUAGUUAUUUAAAAAUAGCCAUUAUUUAUAAAGUUAUUGAAAAUUAAUUACUAUUUUGCUGCAACAUGAAAAAUUCCAAUAUAAUAUACUGGGGAUCGAUACACCUAUGUAUGAACUUCCAGUAUAUUAUGUUGAAACCCCAACACGACGAAAGUUCCAGUAUAAUAUAUUGAAGAUUGGAGCACCGGUGCUUCAAUUUCCAGUAUGUUAUACUGGACCGGUAUAUUAUACUGUAACUCCAAUAUAAUAUGUUGGAGUUCUAUAUAUUAUACUAGAGUAUUUUUCCGGAUUUUAAACAUUUUGAACAGUAUUUUCGUUCAUAUUUAUCUUUACAUGAAAAGUGACUAAAUUUCAGUUAAUUUUAAAACUUUGGCUAUUUUUGAAUGAUCAGUUGUAAAUAUGGCUUUUUUCGAAUUUUUCCCUCAACUCAAAAUCCACUAGUCGUGAUGACACCUACCCAACCCGCUAGGUAAGCCAACUAACAACUAUCCAACUUCAAUAAUGUUAAAAAGACGAUUAAACAAGGGAAUUAUAUGAUCGUAUACAUUUCCCAAGUACUAGUAGUAUAAAUCAUGAACUUCUAAAAAUAGAAUUUACAAAGUUGAUAUGAAGUAAAUACAUCUUCUAUUUGAAAAGUACAUAAAUCAAGUUUUAUAAAUUUACGACUACCAUGAAGAAGAGACAGCUAACCAGAAUGCAUGUACAUCUUCAAAUUCAGCAACCAACGAACACAACAACAACCAACAUCUGCACGCAAUGUGCAUAAGUGUAGUAUCAGUACAAUCGAUCGCAUGUACUGGUAAGUACACCUAACCUUAGGUUGAAAGUAGUGACGAGUUGGAACAUAGGUCGGGUCCAAUACCAAUAACUAAUAACAGUUCAUAACGACGCUGAGCAUAUAAAUAAGGAAGUAACUCAAAGAUAAAAUACGUAGCUUUUUCACAGUUUUUUCGAAAAAUAGUUCUGCUUUUUCAAGAAUAUCAAUGAAAAUCUAAACCUUUUACUGAGAUCAUCGGAAAAUAUGAGAUAGUUUGAUAACCGUAAUGUUUGUCAAAAAAGUACUUUCCACAAUAAGUACGAUGUCUCAUUUUCUUUCCAGAUAGCAUAUGUAAAAUACCUUUCUGUGCCCACAUAUCAAUGUGUGUAAAAAGUCAUGAAUGACGUGAUACCGUACAACAUGAGAAAAAAUACAUCUCUAUGCAUGUAUGUCAUGUGUGCAUGCCAAUUCCAUAUAUCUUAGGGGUCGUUUGGUAGGGUGCAUAAGAAUAAUGUUGAAUAUGGUGAAUUAGUAAUGUUGGCAUUAGUUAUGCUGGUGUUAGCUAUGCUAGCAUAUUUCUUAUCCGUUGUUUGGUUUGAUGUAUUAAAGCAUUGCAUAAUUUCUAAAAGAAUUGCUUUUUUACUAAAAUGCCUUCAAAACCAGUCCAUCACUCUAACUUUUUAAAAGUAACAUAUGUCAGAAAUAUUUUAUAUGAAAAGUUUAAAAAAUUAUUUGAUUUAUCUACCUAUAUUGUAAUAUAGAACUAAAUAUUUAUUGAUAAAAAAAUAUUAAAUAUUUAUUUAUUUACUAGAGAUAUAAUUUUAUUCCUCACCAUUUGGAUUAUUUUAAACUUUCAUUAGUAUAAUAACUAGUAUAUUUUAUCAAAUAUAUAUUUUGAAUGAUAAUUUUAUCUAUAACAACUAAGCUAAUGCAUAAUUCCUAAUACCAUAAUUUUUUAUGUAUUAAUUAUUCAUAGGAUAAUACCAAAUAAGAUGUAUAACUAAUUCUUGCAUAAGUAAUGCAUAGGUUCAAAAUGUCUACCAAAUAAGGUAUUAUUAAUACACAAAGCUAAUGCAUGCAUUAUUCUAUCUAAUGCAUCCAACCAAACGACCCGUUAGAGAUAAAUCAUGUACUCACACUCUCAGAGUACUCAAUCUCAUUGUCUCACACUUUAAUUUACACUCAUCAUGCUUAACCACUCGGUACUGUAUAUGGCCUAUUUGGCAAAAGAUCCAUCCUGGAAUAUAUACAUCAUUGUUCAUCAGUCACUGAGUACCAAGGAAGGUCAAUCUGGCCCCAUGGAGAAGAUCCAUCUCCAAGUAUAUAAAUGCUUUGGAAAAGAUCUAUGUCCAUGGAAGAUCCAUCCCUCAAUAUAAUCAAUCGCGCUCACUAGGGUGUAUAAAGACUUUGGAGGGGCUCCUACAUGCCAAUAGCUAUAAUCUGUAUGAACAACUCACGUCUAGCACGGACAACUCAUGUGCUAAAGUAUCAAUAUCAGAAUCCGCAUGGAAACUGAUAUGUUAUAGUAUCAAUAUCCUCAUAAUCAGGCCCUCGAUUUCACUUAGUCAUAAAUCUCUCUAUACUUUUUAUAUCGGGCUCACAAUAUCACGAAACUAGCCGGAAUAUAAUGAUGUGAUGUAUUAAUAUAUAACAACAGAGGCUGAGAUAUGAUAUGCAUAUGAAUGUGUAUGACUGAGCAUAUAAAACAAUGAAUGAAGAUAACUCAACAACAGAGAUAGAGCUGUCAAAUUUGGCCCAACCCCAAAAUUGACCCGCCCAACCCGUUCAAGAUUGAGCCAGUUAUUGACGCUCUUAUUAUUGAGCCCAACUCAUCUUGACCCAACACAUCUCAAUCCAUUUAAAGUUAGACUGAUUUUUAGCCCAAAUUAAUACAUAAAUAAUUUUGCUAAAAUAGCUUUAAAAAACAUUUUUGGUAUCAUAUGUUAUAUAUGACCAUAACAAAAGAGAAAAAGUCUUAUUUGGUAAUUAAAAAAUUCAUAAAAAAAAUACCACACAUUAAUUAUAGUUUGGUAAAAGUUGCGCGGGUUGGGCUAUGACCCAAAUUUUAGUUCAUCUUGACUCAGCCAUCUCACCCCAAGUAAUUUGUGGAAAUACUGCCCAUUUAGCUAUUCUAAAGGGCUGAUAUUUAGAAAUUAGUCAAUACAUCCUGAAUUUGAGUUUUCAAGUUUAAUUUCAAGACAAAAGUAACUUAAAUUGUCUUGAAGUUCAAAUUUUUAGUGUAAAAUUCUAGAACAAAAUAAGUAUUGACUAAUCUCUAUAUAGCAUUUCUGAGAAUGACUAUCUGUGCACUUGCUCAAGUAACUUUUGAGCGGGUCAUUAACGUAUCCAUUUAUACUCAGCCAAUUUUGACACGCUAAAAAUCAGUCUAACUGAUCGAUUUGGCACCUCUAGAACGAGACAAUUACUUUCAAUUUUACGCAUUAUUUUCAUUUGAACUCAUCUCAUGCUCUAUCUUUUAUUUUGUUAUUACGAAAGGAUGCCCUUGUUAAAAAUAAUAUAUGGAAAAGUAUUAAUCUUUGUAAUCGUUGUUUGAUACAAUUAUAGACUAUGCUUAAAAUUUGGAUAGUUCAGUUCUAAUUAUUAGAAAGUAAUGCAAUGAGAUGAAAAAGAAGGAAUUUUGAACUUAUUUUUGUGAUAAUUGAUAAUUCUUUUGGAGAUAUACGGAAAACAACUCAAAUCGAAUGACUAGAGUGAAAAUUUUCAGCCAAUUCUUUGAGACCGAUCUUAAUUGCUCUCUUAUUUUUCAUUUAAAUUCAGGAAAUAAUUCAGGAUUCGAGCAUAAUGGGAACACCACUGUCUAUGUAAUUCUUUAAAACUUAAUGAUUAUAAUGACUUAUUAUCCAGAUAUUAACAAAAAGAAGUUCUAAAGAAAAUAAAAGGACUAAACGGGGGUAGAGAAAGAAUUCUUCCCAAAAGGGCGUUCAAAUUUAAAAUUAUCAAGGACUUACUAAAGAAAUUAAGAUGAAGAGUAUGUUAAUACUAAUUAAUUGAAGAAGAGUCUCAAAUUCUUAGUUUUCAUUGCUGAUUCAGAGUGAUUGUUAUAGAAUAUUGUGGCAGAAAAUUUGUAUUUUUUCUAUUUGUGGAGCGACAAGUUACAAUUUGAGACUUUCAAUUUUAAACAAGGAAUUUUCAAAACAAAAAUGAAUUAAGUUGAUUAUUUUGUAUUAAUACUAAACUAUAAUUGGAUUUUAAAAAAAGAAAAAAAAUAAAAGUAGAAAAAUAAGCAAUUUGCUAUUAAAUAAAAAUUACAUUGUAUUCAAAGAGCUAAAAUAAAAAAGAGGAGAGAAGGUUGAAGAAAGCUUUGGGUGGUUUCGAACCCACGUCACCACAACAGAGAGAAUUUAAGUGUCCAAAGCAACUACUUCUCUCAUUUGUCACUUUUUUGUUUUGAGGCACCAUUAAAAUAUUUAAGGGGUCUAUAUAUAUAUAUAUAGGGGAUCAGGGCGUAAAUUUCAAAAACGAUCGGCCGGGUCGUCAUAAUAAGAGUAGAAAAAUUUACCUCGCUCGCGGAAACACUUGCGAGACGAGAGGAUCCUUGAUUUAUAGUUUAUCAGGUAUUCCCCCAAUUUUUUAAAAUAAGAAACUUAAUCAAUAUUUUCAAUUUAAAUUCCCAGUCUCAGUACUAAUCAAGACAAUUAAUACACAUGAUAGACAUGAACAAUACAAUUAAAGGCAUGAUAUGAAUCUAAUUCUACCUGGACAUAUCAUUAUAUAUUUCUACAUACAGACUCUCAUUAUCUCGUGCCUACGUAGCUCCCCGCAACAAGUAGCACACAAUAAUAAUACACAUAAGGGGAUAUGUUCCCUCUUACAAGGUUAAGCAAGAAACUUACCUCAAUUCUAAGUCCUUAAUCUAGCUCUCCAACUUCACUAAAACUCUACAAACGACACCGAGGAUUCCGAAACUAAUCAAAAGUUCGUAUAAACUAGUAAAUAUAUACUGGAAAGUUAUAUAUAUAUAUAUAUAUAUAUAACUUUCCAGUAUAUAUUUACUAGUUUAUACGAACUUUUGAUUAGUUUCGGAAUCCUCGGUGUCGUUUGUAGAGUUUUAGUGAAGUUGGAGAGCUAGAUUAAGGACUUAGAAUUGAGGUAAGUUUCUUGCUUAACCUUGUAAGAGGGAACAUAUCCCCUUAUGUGUAUUAUUAUUGUGUGCUACUUGUUGCGGGGAGCUACGUAGGCACGAGAUAAUGAGAGUCUGUAUGUAGAAAUAUAUAAUGAUAUGUCCAGGUAGAAUUAGAUUCAUAUCAUGCCUUUAAUUGUAUUGUUCAUGUCUAUCAUGUGUAUUAAUUGUCUUGAUUAGUACUGAGACUGGGAAUUUAAAUUGAAAAUAUUGAUUAAGUUUCUUAUUUUAAAAAAUUGGGGGAAUACCUGAUAAACUAUAAAUCAAGGAUCCUCUCGUCUCGCAAGUGUUUCCGCGAGCGAGGUAAAUUUUUCUACUCUUAUUAUGACGACCCGGCCGAUCGUUUUUGAAAUUUACGCCCUGAUCCCCCAUUAACUGCUUCCCCUAAGUUUAUUUCUGCUAUUUUGGUUUGUCGGGACGUUCGGUGUUGAGUUUUGGAGAGUUUUGGGACACUUAGUCCCAUAAUGAGAGCUUAAGUGUUAAAAAAUAGUUCGUAGUUGGAAUAGUGUGAAUACGACCUCGGAAUAGAAAUCCGAUGGUUUCGUUAGCUCCGCUAGGUGAUUUCGAGUUUGGCAGCAUGUUCAUAAUGACUUUUGGAAGUUCGUAGCUCAUUUAGGCUUGAAAUGCUGAAGUUUGAGUUUUUUAUGUUUCCGGUCCAAUAGUGAGUUUAUUAUCCGAGGGUCUGAAUGGAAUUCCAGAAGUUGCAGUAACUCUGUCAUAUCAUUUGGGAUGUGCGUGCAAACUUUCAGGUCAUUCGGACGUGUUUUGGUUAGAUUUUUUAUCGAAAGCGUGUUUCGAUGAAAUUUGAAGUUCUUAGGCUCAAAUCCUUGAUUAAUUCGAUUUUUUGGCAUUAUUUUAGUGGUAUAAGGAUUGAUACAAGUUUGAUAAGGUACAAGGUGUUGUUGGUACUCUUGGUUGAGGUCCGGGGGGGCUCGGGAUGAUUUUGGAUAGUUGACGGGAAGAUCUGAAAAGUGUUGCAGCAGCUGAAGCAUUGCUACUUCAGGUAUUUUCGCAUCUGCGGCUCAGGUUCCUCAGAUGUGGUGCCGCAGAAGCGGCUAAAGGGCUGCAUAAGGCUUUGGGUCAUCUCUUCAGGUUUCGCAGAUGCAGAUGUUUUAUCGCAGAAGCGGUUUCGCAUCUGCGGAAGAAGAACGGCAGAUGCGGGUCCUGGUCCUUUGAGUGGAAGCCGAAGAUGCGACAUACAUUCCGCAUAAGCAGGACUACAGAAGCGGUCUCUUGUCCCCAGAAGCGGAAACCACUAUUCAGAAAUAGAGAUUUCGAGGGUUAAUUUUUAAAAGUUAGAAAAAUCAAAUUGAGCUCGGAAGAGGGCAAUAUUUAGAGGGGUUUUGAAGAUGAGAUUAUUGGGUAAUGUUUCUUUAAUCCCUUCUAGUUAUAUUUCAUCAAUAUAUAGUUAAAUCUAUCUUUUAAAUUCGAAUUUGAGGAUCAAAUUGGGGAAAAAUUGGAAGAAACUUCUUAGGUUGAAAUUCUGAGUUUUGAGCGGGUUUUUGGUAUCCGAUUUGGGAGAUUUUUAUAUGGUUGGACUCGUGAGAGUGCGAGGGUUCUGGAAAUGAUAAAUUUUUAUCCGAUUCCGAGACAUUGGCCUGAGGGUAAUUUUGGUCAUUUUACCUAAUUUUACGUUUUAUCGUUGAAUUAAAUAGUAGAAUCAAUUGCUUGAGAUGUUAUUUACGAUAUGUAAUUGUAUUUUAUAGAUUUGGGCCAUUUGAAGUUGGAUACUCGUGGCAAAAGUGUGGUUUCAAGUUGAAUUUGGAACCGGAUUGAAGACUGGCUUGUGUAACCUUGUGUAGGCGACCUUUCCCCCUUAAGAUGUGAUAUUUGGUGAUUGAAUGCCUUGUACGUAAGGUUACGAGCGCGUACUUGAUCUAAUUGUUGAAAACCCAAUUUUUACUUAAAAUUAGUUUCUUUCGUAUUUGCUUAUUUCUACUUGCCAUUAUAGCAUGUGCUAGUUUAGAAAGGCAUGUUUAGUUGAUCCAAAUUGUCUAUUUGCUUAAAUUGCAUUACGUAAAGGCAUGUUAGGCUAGAACUAUCUGUUGCUUUGUAUUGUCAUCCUUCAUUUCUGAAUAUUCUCUGAUUGUGGUUGUGCAUUUACAUUGGGACUACGGAUGAGGGAUUCUGGUAGCUCCCCCCUUGUUUGUUUACUUUGGGACUACGGGUUAGAUCCCGAUAGAUCCCCCUGCAUAUUACUUUGGGACUACAGGUUAGAUUCCCGAUAGAUCCCCCUGCACAUUUACUUUGGGACUAUGGGUUAGAUUCUCGGUAGAUCCCCCUGCUCCUUGAUAUUGAAAUGGACUACAGGACGAUAUCCAGGGAGAUCCUCCUUAAUGGUAUUAAUAUGGAAAUGGACUACAGGACAGUAUCCUCGGAGAUCCUCGUUGUUGGUAUUAAUAUGGAAAUGGACUACAGGACGAUGUGUUGUUGGUAUUAAUAUGGAAAUAGACUACAAGAUGGUAUCCUAGGAGGUCCUCAUUGUUGGUAUUGAUAUGGAAAUGGACUAUAGGACGGUAUCCUGGGAGAUCUUCGUAAUUGGUACUGAUAUUGAGCUAUUUUACUCUGAGUUAUCUUAUCUUAUGUGUGUUAAAUUGUUGUUUGUGUAACCUGGCUUACUUCACAGCUGUAUUCCAUUAUUUCUACUUAUUUCAUACUAUUGGCAGCCUUAUUAUUAUAUUUUAUCUCAUUAGGGCCCGGACCUUUCCUCGUCAUUACCCAACCGAAGUUAGUCUUGGCACUUAUUGAGUACCACUGUGGUGUACUCAUGCCUCUUCUGCGCAUGUUUUUUAUGUGCAGACCCAGGUACUUCAUCUCAGGCGCACUAUCCUUGAGGCAAGGAGAGCUAUAGAGACUUGAGGUACUCCUGCAGCAUCCGCAGACCAG